AUCCAGCUGACGAGUCCCAAUUAGGGCGAAAUGCGCAUCCUGGAU
rnacentral:hammerhead_ribozyme from 1 species